UACGUAGGGUGCAAGCGUUGUCCGGAAUUAUUGGGCGUAAAGAGCUCGUAGGCGGUCUGUCGCGUCGGCUGUGAAAUCCCGGAGCUCAACUCCGGGUCUGCAGUCGAUACGGGCAAACUGGAGUACUGCAGGGGAGACUGGAAUUCCAGGUGUAGCGGUGAAAUGCGUAGAUAUCUGGAGGAACAUCAGUGGCGAAGGCGGCUUCCUGGGCCAACACUGACACUGAGGUGCGAAAGCGUGGGGAGCAAACAGG
rnacentral:rRNA from 1 species